rnacentral:rRNA from 1 species
UGGGGAAUAUUGUACAAUGGGGGAAACCCUGAUGCAGCAACGCCGCGUGGAGGAUGACGCAUUUCGGUGUGUAAACUCCUUUUAUAUAGGAAGAUAAUGACGGUACUAUAUGAAUAAGCACCGGCUAACUCCGUGCCAGCAGCCGCGGUAAUACGGAGGGUGCAAGCGUUACUCGGAAUCACUGGGCGUAAAGCGCGCGCAGGCGGCCUGAUAAGUUGGAUGUGAAAGCCUACGGCUCAACCGUAGAACUGCAUCCAAAACUGUCAGGCUAGAGUCUGGGAGGGGAAGAUGGAAUUAGUUGUGUAGGGGUAAAAUCCGUAGAGAUAACUAGGAAUACCAAAAGCGAAGGCGAUCUUCUGGAACAGUACUGACGCUGAGGCGCGAAAGCGUGGGGAGCAAACAGG